UACGGGAGAAAGCAGGGGACCUUUGGGCCUUGCGCUAAUAGAUGAGCCUAAGUCGGAUUAGCUAGUUGGUAGGGUAAAGGCCUACCAAGGCGACGAUCUGUAGCGGGUCUGAGAGGAUGAUCCGCCACACUGGGACUGAGACACGGCCCAGACUCCUACGGGAGGCAGCAGUGGGGAAUAUUGGACAAUGGGGGGAACCCUGAUCCAGCCAUGCCGCGUGUGUGAAGAAGGCCUUUUGGUUGUAAAGCACUUUAAGCGAGGAGGAGGCUACCUAGAUUAAUACUUUAGGAUAGUGGACGUUACUCGCAGAAUAAGCACCGGCUAACUCUGUGCCAGCAGCCGCGGUAAUACAGAGGGUGCGAGCGUUAAUCGGAUUUACUGGGCGUAAAGCGUGCGUAGGCGGCCAAUUAAGUCAAAUGUGAAAUCCCCGAGCUUAACUUGGGAAUUGCAUUCGAUACUGGUUGGCUAGAGUAUGGGAGAGGAUGGUAGAAUUCCAGGUGUAGCGGUGAAAUGCGUAGAGAUCUGGAGGAAUACCGAUGGCGAAGGCAGCCAUCUGGCCUAAUACUGACGCUGAGGUACGAAAGCAUGGGGAGCAAACAGGAUUAGAUACCCUGGUAGUCCAUGCCGUAAACGAUGUCUACUAGCCGUUGGGGCCCUUGAGGCUUUAGUGGCGCAGCUAACGCGAUAAGUAGACCGCCUGGG
rnacentral:rRNA from 1 species